rnacentral:rRNA from 1 species
CUACGGGAGGCUCCAGUGAGGAAUAUUGCACAAUGGAGGAAACUCUGAUGCAGCAACGCCGCGUGGAGGAUGACGCAUUUCGGUGUGUAAACUCCUUUUAUAUGUCAAGAAAAUGACGGUAGCAUAUGAAUAAGCACCGGCUAACUCCGUGCCAGCAGCCGCGGUGAAUACGGAGGGUGCAAGCGUUACUCGGAAUCACUGGGCGUAAAGGACGCGUAGGCGGGAUAUCAAGUCAGGUGUGAAAUCCUACAGCUUAACUGUAGAACUGCACUUGAAACUGGUAACCUAGAGUAUGGGAGGGGGAGAUGGAAUUAGUGGUGUAGGGGUAAAAUCCGUAGAUAUCACUAGGAAUGCCAAAAGCGAAGGCGAUCUCCUGGAACAUUACUGACGCUAAGGCGUGAAAGCGUGGGGAGCAAACAGGAUUAGAUACCCUCGUAGUC